UACUCUGUAGAGUCUGCAUAUCAAUAAGCGGAGGAAAAGAAACUAACUAGGAUUCCCUUAGUAACGGCGAGUGAAGCGGGAAGAGCUCAAAUUUGAAAUCUUCAAGGUUCUACCUUGACGAAUUGUAGUUUAAAGAAGUGUUUUCUGUUGAAGUUUUGGUAAAAGUUCUUUGGAAUAGGACAUCAUAGAGGGUGAGAAUCCCGUAUUUGACCAGUUAUCUUCCAGCUGUGUGAUACACUUUCAAAGAGUCGGAUUGUUUGGGAAUGCAGUCCAAAAUGGGUGGUAAAUUUCAUCUAAAGCUAAAUAUUGGCGAGAGACCGAUAGCGAACAAGUACCGUGAGGGAAAGAUGAAAAGAACUUUGAAAAGAGAGUUAAACAGUACGUGAAAUUGUCAAAAGGGAAGCGUUUGACACCAGUGUUGUUUUCUCGAAAAUCAAUUACAAAUGGCCUGAUUUUGUGUUGUAUUGACUUUAUCAGCUUUCUGCACUUUUUUCUUGUCUUUUUUAAUGCACUUUUCGUUUAACAAGUCAACAUCAAUUUCUUUUGUUGUAAAAGAGUCAUUGGAAGGUGGCUUUCACUUCGGUGAAAGUGUUUAUAGCCUUUGACUUCUGCAAUCGGAGAGAUUGAGGUCUGCAGCGUAGAUCCUUCGGGGUUAGAUACAUUUGUGCUAAGUUAUAGUUUUUCAUAGACAACAUGUUGACUAUGAUUAAUCAUGUAGCUUACUCGCUUAUGCUAUUUUACCUACGCUUAGGAUGUUGAACGCGCACAGAGUCUC
rnacentral:rRNA from 1 species